AUUGCAUCUGAAACUGCUUUGCUUGAGUCCUGGAUGGGAUAGUGGAAUUCCCAGUGUAGCGGUGAAAUGCGUAGAUAUUGGGAGGAACACCUGCGGCGAAGGCGGCUAUCUGGACAGUGACUGACGCUGAGGCGCGAAAGCUAGGGGAGCGAACGGGAUUAGAUACCCCGGUAGUCCUAGCUGUAAACGAUGGGCACUUGGUGUUGGGGGUAUUGAGUCCCUCGGUGCCGGAGUUAACACGUUAAGUGCCCCGCCUGGGGAGUACGGUCGCAAGACUGAAACUCAGAGGAAUUGACAGGGGCCCGCACAAGCGGUGGAGCAUGUGGUUCAAUUCGACGCAACGCGAAGAACCUUACCGGGGCUCGAACGGUAACUGCUACCCAUGGAAACACGGGAUUCUCUUCGGAGACGGUUAUCGAGGUGCUGCAUGGCUGUCGUCAGCUCGUGUCGUGAGAUGUUGGGUUAAGUCCCGCAACGAGCGCAACCCUUGCCCUUAGUUGCCAUCAGGUUAUGCUGGGCACCCUAAGGGAACUGUCGGCGAAAAGCCGGAGGAAGGUGGGGAUGACGUCAAGUCCUCAUGGCCCUUACGUCCCGGGCUACACACGUGCUACAAUGGCUGGUACAAAGGGUUGCCAACCCGCGAGGGGGAGCUAAUCCCAAAAAACCAGUCCCAGUUCGGAUUGCAGCCUGCAACUCGACUGUAUGAAGGCGGAAUCGCUAGUAAUCGCAGAUCAGCAUGCUGCGGUGAUACGUUCCCGGGCCUUGUACACACCGCCCGUCACAUC
rnacentral:rRNA from 1 species